UACGGAGGAUCCGAGCGUUAUCCGGAUUUAUUGGGCUUAAAGGGUGCGUAGACGGCCUUGUAAGUCAGGGGUGAAAGACGGUAGCUUAACUAUCGCAGUGCCUUUGAUACUGCAGGGCUUGAAUGUACUUGAGGUAGGCGGAAUGUGACAAGUAGCGGUGAAAUGCAUAGAUAUGUCACAGAACACCAAUUGCGAAGGCAGCUUACUAAAGUAUGAUUGACGCUGAGGCACGAAAGCGUGGGGAUCAAACAGG
rnacentral:rRNA from 1 species